CAGAAUCCCGUGAACCAUCGAGUCUUUGAACGCAAGUUGCGCCCCAAGCCUUCUGGCCGAGGGCACGUCUGCCUGGGUGUCACAAAUCGUCGUCCCCCCAUCCUCUCGAGGAUAUGGGACGGAAGCUGGUCUCCCGUGUGUUACCGCACGCGGUUGGCCAAAAUCCGAGCUAAGGACGCCGGGAGCGUCUCGACAUGCGGUGGUGAAUUCAAACUUCGUCAUACCGUCGGGCGUUCCGGUCCAGAAGCUCUCGAUGACCCAAAGUCCUCAACGCGACCCCAGGUCAGGCGGGAUCACCCGCUGAGUUUAAGCAUAUCAAUAAGCGGAGGAAAAGAAACUAACAAGGAUUCCCUUAGUAACGGCGAGCGAACCGGGAAGAGCCCAGCUUGAAAAUCGGACGUCUUCGGCGUUCGA
rnacentral:rRNA from 1 species